rnacentral:rRNA from 1 species
UGGGGAAUCUUGCGCAAUGGGCGAAAGCCUGACGCAGCCAUGCCGCGUGAAUGAUGAAGGUCUUAGGAUUGUAAAAUUCUUUCAGCGGGGACGAUAAUGACGGUACCCGCAGAAGAAGCCCCGGCUAACUUCGUGCCAGCAGCCGCGGUAAUACGAAGGGGGCUAGCGUUGCUCGGAUUUACUGGGCGUAAAGGGAGCGUAGGCGGAACAGCAAGUGAGGGGUGAAAGCCCGGGGCUCAACCUCGGAAUUGCCCUUGAGACUGCUGAUCUAGAGUUUGGGAGAGGUGUGUGGAACUCCGAGUGUAGAGGUGAAAUUCGUAGAUAUUCGGAAGAACACCAGUGGCGAAGGCGACACACUGGCCCAAUACUGACGCUGAGGCUCGAAAGCGUGGGGAGCAAACAGG